UACAGAGGUCCCGAGCGUUGUUCGGAUUCACUGGGCGUAAAGGGUGCGUAGGUGGCAAGGCAAGUUUGAUGUGAAAGCUCAGGGCUUAACCCUGAAAUGGCAUUGAAUACUACUGUGCUGGAGGUUUGGAGGGGGGACUGGAAUUCUUGGUGUAGCAGUGAAAUGCGUAGAUAUCAAGAGGAACACCAGUGGCGAAGGCGAGUCCCUGGACAACACCUGACACUGAGGCACGAAAGCUAGGGGAGCAAACAGG
rnacentral:rRNA from 1 species